UUGGGAAUAUUGGACAAUGGAGGAAACUCUGAUCCAGUGACGCCGCGUGAAGGAAGAAGGUCUUCGGAUUGUAAACUUAUUUUAUCAGGGAAGAAGAAAGUGACUGUACCUGAAGAAGAAGGACCGGCUAACUACGUGCCAGCAGCCGCGGUAAUACGUAGGGUCCAAGCGUUAUCCGGAUUUACUGGGUGUAAAGGGCGAGUAGACGGCAUAGCAAGUCAGAUGUGAAAACUUAGGGCUCAACCUUAAGCGUGCAUCUGAAACUGUUAAGCUAGAGUGCAGAAGAGGUAAGCGGAAUUCCUAGUGUAGCGGUGAAAUGCGUAGAUAUUAGGAGGAACACCAGUGGCGAAGGCGGCUUACUGGGCUGUAACUGACGUUGAGGAGCGAAAGUGUGGGGAGCAAACAGG
rnacentral:rRNA from 1 species